rnacentral:lncRNA from 1 species
UACAAGUUUUAAUUUUUAUUAUGUAAUUUAAUUUAAUUGUUUUGAAGGUAGAGAAGCCAUCUACUUCUUGAUUGUUGGCUAUAUGUUGCGGUGUCUCAAGGAAUUCUGCUUUUCACCCAACUCUUUUUGUUUGCUUUCAAUUGAAAAGACGAAAUUGCCCCUGUUGUAUGUAAUGUUUUUACAAUUUUAUCCUUAAGAGAGAGUUUAUAUUUUCCAUAUCUAUUUAUUGUUGUUGAAGAAAAAUAUGUAUAAUAAAUAGAAGUAUGUAUAUAAAGAAAUAAUUAAUGUAAUUGGAAAUAGCAAAGAAGUUUAUAAAAGGGGAUAAUUUUUUUUUA